rnacentral:rRNA from 1 species
GACGAACGCUGGCGGCGUGGAUUAGGCAUGCAAGUCGAACGGUAUCAUCCUUUCGGGGGUGAGAGAGUGGCGAACUGGUGAGUAACACGUAGGUUAUCUACCCUCAAGACGGGGACAACCCAGGGAAACUUGGGCUAAUACCGGAUGUGAGCAACUUUUUAGUUGUUUGAAAGGUGGCGUAAGCUGUCGCUUGGGGAUGAGCCUGCGUCCUAUUAGUUAGUUGGUGAGGUAACGGCUCACCUAGGCAAUGAUAGGUAGGCGGCCUUAACGGGUGGUCGCCCACACUGGGAUUGAGAUACGGCCCAGACUCCUACGGGAGGCAGCAGUCGAGAAUAGUCUACAAUGGUCGGAAGACUGAUAGUGCGACGCCGCGUGAACGAUGAAUCCCUUCGGGGUGUAAAGUUCUUUUAUAUGUGAGCAGUGCUUCUUAUAUUAACAGUAUGGGGAAGAGAUAUUAGCAUAUGAAUAAGCAACGGCUAAACUCCGUGCCCAGCAGCCGCGGU